CAUGCAAGUCGAACGGCAGCGCGGGGCAACCUGGCGGCGAGUGGCGAACGGGUGAGUAAUAUAUCGGAACGUACCCUGGAGUGGGGGAUAACGUAGCGAAAGUUACGCUAAUACCGCAUACGAUCUAAGGAUGAAAGUGGGGGAUCGCAAGACCUCAUGCUCCUGGAGCGGCCGAUAUCUGAUUAGCUAGUUGGUGGGGUAAAGGCCUACCAAGGCAUCGAUCAGUAGCUGGUCUGAGAGGACGACCAGCCACACUGGAACUGAGACACGGUCCAGACUCCUACGGGAGGCAGCAGUGGGGAAUUUUGGACAAUGGGCGAAAGCCUGAUCCAGCAAUGCCGCGUGAGUGAAGAAGGCCUUCGGGUUGUAAAGCUCUUUUGUCAGGGAAGAAACGGUGAAAGCUAAUAUCUUUUGCUAAUGACGGUACCUGAAGAAUAAGCACCGGCUAACUACGUGCCAGCAGCCGCGGUAAUACGUAGGGUGCAAGCGUUAAUCGGAAUUACUGGGCGUAAAGCGUGCGCAGGCGGUUUUGUAAGUCUGUCGUGAAAUCCCCGGGCUCAACCUGGGAAUUGCGAUGGAGACUGCAAGGCUAGAAUCUGGCAGAGGGGGGUAGAAUUCCACGUGUAGCAGUGAAAUGCGUAGAGAUGUGGAGGAACACCGAUGGCGAAGGCAGCCCCCUGGGUCAAGAUUGACGCUCAUGCACGAAAGCGUGGGGAGCAAACAGGAUUAGAUACCCUGGUAGUCCACGCCCUAAACGAUGUCUACUAGUUGUCGGGUUUUAAUUAACUUGGUAACGCAGCUAACGCGUGAAGUAGACCGCCUGGGGAGUACGGUCGCAAGAUUAAAACUCAAAGGAAUUGACGGGGACCCGCACAAGCGGUGGAUGAUGUGGAUUAAUUCGAUGCAACGCGAAAA
rnacentral:rRNA from 1 species